rnacentral:rRNA from 1 species
UACGUAGGGUGCAAGCGUUAAUCGGAAUUACUGGGCGUAAAGCGUGCGCAGGCGGUUUUGUAAGUCUGAUGUGAAAUCCCCGGGCUCAACCUGGGAAUUGCAUUGGAGACUGCAAGGCUAGAAUCUGGCAGAGGGGGGUAGAAUUCCACGUGUGAGCAGUGAAAUGCGUAGAGAUGUGGAGGAACACCGAUGGCGAAGGCAGCCCCCUGGGUCAAGAUUGACGCUCAUGCACGAAAGCGUGGGGAGCAAACAGG